rnacentral:rRNA from 2 species
ACGGGAGGCAGCAGUGGGGAAUUUUGGACAAUGGGGGAAACCCUGAUCCAGCGACGCCGCGUGAAGGAUGAAGGUCUUCGGAUUGUAAACUUCUUUUAGAGGGGACGAAAAAAAUGACGGUACCCUCAGAAAAAGCCACGGCUAACUACGUGCCAGCAGCCGCGGUAAUACGUAGGUGGCGAGCGUUACUCGGAAUUACUAGGCGUAAAGCGUAUGUAGGCGGUCAGAUAAGUCUUUGGUGAAAUUUCCCGGCUCAACCGGGAAAGGCCCAAGGAUACUGUUUGGCUUGAGUGUGGAAGGGGGAGACGGAAUUCCUGGUGUAGCGGUGAAAUGCGUAGAUAUCAGGAAGAACACCGAUGGCGAAAGCAGUCUCCUGGUCCAAUACUGACGCUGAUGUACGAAAGCUAGGGUAGCAAACAGGAUUAGAUACCCUGGUA